AUGGCCAAUUUCAAGAUCACUAGUUACGCCGGCGUACUGGUGGAAAACAGCAAGCUUGACUUCCAAAGCUUGUAUUUGCGCAGGAUCAUUUCUGGGGAUAAGAAAAACCAGUAUGUAGUGAUAGAUGGAUUUGGUACUACUGACCUUGGUCUCACAACCAUCAACGACUGGGCAAUAUAUGAUGGUGUGGCCCCUGGCGCAAAGCUAGUCGCUCGUGCAAAAGGCAUGCGUAUGAAUGCUGCUGGCUGGUGCAAUUUAUUCAUCAUAGUGUUCGAGCUUGACAGGUUCAAAGGAUCCACGCUUGAGGUAAUGGGAGCAACUACUGAUGAACAAGGGGAAUGGGCUAUUGUUGGUGGGACUGGUGACUUCACUAUGGCGCGUGGUGUCAUCCAGAGAAAAAUACAUCAAAAAGAAGCUGAUGGAGAUGUAUUAGAGCUUACUAUCGAUGCAUUCUGCCGCAUGAAGGUGAGUGCUUCUACUACUUCCGACACCGCCAACCAGGCGCAGUCCAAGAGGGCGCCAGCUCCUCACAUGUUCCGGGAGAUUGUUGCCGGGGAGAAGGUCACCAAUGUAGCUGCACUGGAAGAUCAGGUUUCCACCGGGAUCUUCUUGACUGGGAAAACAAAGAAGUACUGGGUGGAUGAGAGGACUAGGCACAACUGCUUCAUGCUGUUCCCCAGAGGCCUGGCCAUCACUUGGAGCGAAGAACCCCAAUACUGGACUUGGCAACCCCUGAAAGAAGGAAGUGCUGCCGAAGCUGGAAUCGAGAUGGUGGCGCUGAAGAACGUCUGCUGGUUGGAGGUCCAAGGGAAGCUGGAACUGCCCCAUCUCACACCAGGAGUCACCUAUGAGGUUUUCUUCGAGGUGAUGCUCGACGAUACGGCCUACGGGUGGUCGACGCCGGUGAACUUCCGGCUCAAGUUCCCCGACGGGACGAUCCAGCAGCACAAGGAGAACCUGCAGGAGAAGCCCAGGGGGGAGUGGCUGCAGGUCAAGGUUGGGGAGGUUAAGCCACACAAUGGGCAGAAUGGAGAGGCAGAGAUCUCCAUGAUUGAGUCUGAUGGUGGGCAGUGGAAGAGGGGGCUCCUCAUCAAGGGCAUCAAGAUCAUCCCAAAAGAAUGA
rnacentral:rRNA from 1 species